CUUGCUCACUCGCUGUGCGUAGAACGUAGUACUUGUGUAAACGUGUAAAUAAAUUGGAGAUAGCAAACAAGAAAACAGAAAGGGUUCGCGGUUCAACUUUUUUCUAACGGUUUCCUCGGCGUCCUUUACAAAGUCCAGUUGAUAUCGUGUCCUGUCCACGUCCAGGGUGGAUCAGACCUGAUCUACAAAUCUUGGAGCAGCCGCUUUCGUCGUAUGCCAUUAAAAAAAUUAAAACAUGCCCGUUAUUAAAAUUUGGUCAGUAGACCAAACAAUCAAGAAAGCUGUUCCAAUAAUGGACCCAACUUUAAAAAAUAUCAUUGAAAAAGUAUGAUGUCAAUUUAAAAAUUUGACGCUUGAAGUUGACAAGAUAGAGCUGAUGCUGAACCCUGGCUGUACCUAGUGGAACUCAGGUUUGGUGCAACAUAGGCCCACGCUAUUUUGAUCAUCCGUCACAUAGAGGGAGAGCAAUACCCAAGAUAGAAUUCAUAAUCCAUUUUCUUCCAGGUGAGGUACCAUCCUAAAUAUAGUAGUUCCAUUUACUAAUCUUAUUAACUUUUUCUUUUCCAGGAACCAUUAACCAGGGUUCAAGUUGCAGAGCUAUCCGAAAUAGCUGCGCCUAACAUUGUAUUUUUAGAUAAUGAAAAUAUAAUUAUAUUACUUGCUGGUAGAAAAAACGAUUGUUAGCGAAACUGAGAUUCUGCCUACGUCGUUACAACUAUUGAUGGCGGCUUACUGCAACUUGAAUAUGGAAUAUCCACUAUAUCCAGUGGACUGUCAAAACACAUUAGAAUUUAUACAAAGGUACCUAUAUUUUUAAAAUAAAUCCUAAAGAAGGAAGUCAUAAGUAAUAGUUUUUGAUUUUUAAAAAGCGUUUUUCAAUUAAAAGACAUGUCAAGAUCGCUUAACUUCUUGCAAGUUCUUUCUAAUGCUAAAAAAACUAACUUUAAUUAAUGUCAGUAACAAACAUUUUCAGACAAUUCGUUACUUGAAAUGGUAUAGGUUUCACGCAUUAGAUUCACAUAGGCCUUAUUAACCGAAACUUUUAUAAGACUAAUUCAUAACUUUCAUAAGAAGUACUUAUGUACAUAAGAUAUAAUUUAUAGUGUCGUAUAUGUCUUCUACUUUUUGUACUCUGUCACAGAAUAAAUAAUAAUAAUAUGCACGUAGACGUGUAUAUACGCGUGUGCUCUAUAAUUUUAGUGUGU